rnacentral:piRNA from 1 species
UUACUUCCUGUGCAUUGCUUGGUGGUU